AUCCCAUGAUGUGGACACUUUCUAAUGAGAUCCAUGAAUCUCUCCCAAGCCUCAUAAAGAGAUUCAUUGUCAAGCUGACAAAAAUUAUUAAUCUCUCUUCCCAGCCU